UUCUGCUCCUCCAUUCACCUAGUGGCAAUCAUCACAGUUUGACCAUACACUGCAGGAUAAUCAGCUCAGGAACUCCAAGGCUAGUUUUGAGAUAUGUCUAAAUUGAAGUGGAAAAAAGACAUAGGGAUGUGCUCAGAUCAAUGACUGUGCUUUGGUUUAGUCUGAGGAUGAAACAGUGGCAGCUCAACAAUGAGUAUUUGGACACUGAGUGAGAAGUCUCUGGUGUUCUGGACAGAGCUCCUCAAGAUUGGAUGAAGUUAACAGAUUUGGAGGUAGUAGUUUUAAGAGAGGUAGGAUGUUGGACAAAAGUUGAACCCAGACCAUUCUUGGAGAGCUUCAGAAAUUUGUUCCGCAGCCAGAUGCCGUCUGGAUGAUCUCUUAUGGGAAAGUACCAGUGUAUUGAUGCCUGAUAGAAUGGUAAAUUUAGCCUACCGCUUUUCAGACUGUUAUGUAUCUUCUAGUGUUUGUCUCCAUCUUUAUAGGAAUUAGGUCUUGUCAUGAGAAGAAUCACUAAGAUGGUGCAAUAACGACUUGAUUCUGCAUCCUUGUGCAAGUACAUACCAUUGACCAAGAUCACUGGGCAGCCAAUCUUAAUGACAUCUCAGAAGAGUUGGAUUGUAAGGACUUGGAGUCACAAUUUUUACUAAAUGACUCUUGAAAUAUAAUUUUGCAUUUUAAAAAUAUUCAGCUCGCACAGUAAAUUCUUGUUUAAGGCUCUGCUAGA